UUUAUUGUUAAUGCCCCCAAACUGGAAA
rnacentral:piRNA from 1 species